AAACCUGUUGAUCCAUCCCAGUUGGUGAAGCUCCUUUUCUAUAAGCUCUGCUUCAGAUAGUUUCACAGAGAUGCCUAAAUGCUUCAGGUGUUCUGCGGCCUCCCAUGCCGAGUGGAAUGUCUUCUCUCAAUCUUCCAAGGUGACUCUUAGUGCGAUGCGAUUCCCCUCAAACUUUACAUCUUUGGUACUCCAGGCGAUAUGUUGUUUUGUUUGAAAAUCGAUAAAUUUAACCACGAUAGAUCUGGAGAAGUUCGGAUUUCCUUUUUUUAAUGCCGUUGAUCUGUGUGCACGCUCAAUGCCGAGGAUUUCAUCAUCGGGAAGUUUUAAUAGUUUUGUGGUGAAUUCGAGCAUGUUCUCCUUGCCCUCUGCUCCUUCCUUCACUCCAUAAAUCUGUAAAUUGUACCUUCUUGUCUUCACAGUGUGCUUCCAAUGCAGCGUUGAUUGUGCAUCAUGUAGAUUAACAGUCGGUCAGCCCGUGUUCCCUGAUCUUCCACAUCGCUCACUCUUUGCUCCGCUACAUUCAGUCUUUUUUCCCAUUUCUGUAUUUGCACACUCAUGUCUUUCAGGGAUUCUUCAAUUUUAUCCAACCUUUCUGUCACGUCCUUUCUCAUUCCUUUCAUCUCUGCUAAUCCCUCGCCAAUCAAAUUACCUGCAGCACCUGUUGAGUCGUUAGCUGUGGUGGCGCAGGCCUCUAGAUUUGUUAUAGGUUUGCUCGCACCUUCGUUUCUGUGGAUGUUCUACAGAAGCCACUUAGAGAAACUUAUUAAAUCUGGGUUAACAGUCUGUGAGGUUGGCAGCUCUGUUCUCACGCUGCCAUCUUGCAGGGGACCGGAAGUGACAGUUGUACUUUAAUUAUAAGAUUAAGUUGAACUGUAGUAAUGUCCCUAUAUAUUCCCCAACUUAUUAAUCACAUAUGUAUUUUAUUUUCUGUUCUUAAUCUUUCUUUUUUGUUGUUUGUGUUGAUAUUUGUUUUUAUCUCUUUCCUUUGGUUACGUUAUGACUUAACUUAUUUGAUAAAUAAUGUUGUGUACUCUGUAUGUAUGCUGAAAGGUAAAAUAAAUAAAACAUUGUUGGGAAAAAAAACCCCUGACCUUUCAGGACAGUUUCCCUUUUUUCUCAGUCCUUUAAAAUCAGGAAACAUGUUUGUUUCUUCUUCUAUGAACUACUCAUAUUCACUCCCAUCUUGAGUUGUGUCAUGUUUCUGAUGUAUUCUCUCUCCUGUUAGGCUUUCUCAUGAAGAUGUGCAGACAUGAUGACAAGAAGAACAAUGGAGACGUUACAUCUCAUCACUUGGAGGUCCGUGUGAUGAUGCAGCCCAGAUCUGAUGACGAGGAGCUCAAUGAAGACGUUACAUCUGAUCUCUUGGAGGAGACAGACCAUAUGAAGGACACCCCGGAAAGGAAUCUGACUGAUGAAGGGUUUAAAUAAAACCUUUUUUAAAAGGGUUGAUGAACACAGGGAUUGACCUCAUGAAUGUUCAUCUUUGUUCCCACACACCUUGAAUACGUGCCUUUCUGUGUUAUUGCUCUGAUUUUAUUUAAUGUCUGCACCUUCCUGUUUUAUGUCCCUUUUUUUAAAGAUAAAUGAAACAAUACGUACAUGUAGCAUCUGAAGACAGCUUCAUGCCUAACAAAAGCUACGUAUCAAUCUGCUGUUGGAAAAACACUUUUUUAGGGUUUUCACACCUGCAGAAACUCCUGAUGUUUCCAGGCUGAGCGUCAUGUGUGAACAGAAACAGCUGAAUGAAGAGUGUCCCGCUGUGAGGUACAUGUGUGAACAACCAGAAUGGAAGAACAUCCGGAGCAGUCCUCCUGAGAUGAUCUAGAUAUUUUCAGGAGUGCAGAUGUGAAAACAGCUGAUUUCUUUCCCGGUGUUACGACCUCCUUUACCAAAAUAAUAAAUCAAUGGCUCAAAACAUGGAGACUGAAAACAUAGAAGGACGCCACACAGAUUUAAAAAUUCAACCAAAGUAUUACAAGGUGCUGAGCCAACCGCGUACUGGGUCGUCGCUCUUGGCUCCUCCCCCUAAAAUGACCCAACAAAAUGCCCGGGUCUCUCCUACCUGCCUCUAAAUACAACUCCUCUUUCCUGAACAUAGAUUGUACUCAGGUGUGCAGCAGGUAGAGGGAGACAGACAGAAACAUUAAAACAUUCAGUUUGAUUCGUUCAGAGUUCCUGAAAAUGUUCAAUGAGCUCAACAUGGACUUACUAUCCACAGACUGAGACUCCACUGAUCUGUUAUAUUUUUAAAUGUCAGGAGGACUCAUAAGAAGUUGAUCAUGUAUCUGGAGCUGGAGGCAUGUUUCUCAUUUUGUUUUUUUGUAUGAACCUCUAUUUAGUCAAGUUAUGAGGCUUGUACAGAUUUUUGCUUGAUUAUUCAAAUUGCAAAUGUAAUGUGAGAAAAAUGUGAA